AGUUGGAGUUCUGCCAGGUGCCGCCUGUCCGCCCCAGUGGUGAGUACGUGGCGCGCAUUUGGCCCUUUCAAGGGGAGCGUAUCUGCACUUCAUUGUGUGGUGCGGGAUCCUUGACUUUUACUUUGAGGAAAUAGGAGUGUUCCAAGCAGGCUCUCGUCGUGCACAGCUCAGCAUGGAAUAAUAGCAUUGGACCUCGAUUCUAAGCUGUUGGUUGCCAGAAGCGAGGUAAUGAUGAAGAGGGAUAGUUGGGGGCAUUCGUAUUUAACUGUCAGAGGUGAAAUUCUUGGAUUUGUUAAGGACGGACUACUGCGAAAGCAUCUGCCAUGGAUGUUUUCAUUGAUCAAGAACGAAAGUUAGGGGAUCGAAGACGAUCAGAUACCGUCCUAGUCUUAACUAUAAACCAUGCCGGCUAGAGAUCGGAGGUUGUUCGUUUUGUGACGCCUUCAGCAUCUUGAGAGAAAUCAAAGCCUUUGGGUUCCGGGGGGAGUAUGGUCGCAAGGCUGAAACUUAAAGGAAUUGACGGAAGGGCACCACCAGGAGUGGAGCCUGCGGCUUAAUUUGACUCAACACGGGGAAACUUACCAGGUCCAGACUGGGUAAGGAUGUACAGAUUGAUAGCUCUUUACAGAUUCUCACGGUGGUGGUGCAUGGCCGUUCUUAGUUGGUGGAGUGAUUUGUCUGGUUAAUUCCGUUAACGAACGAGACCUUAACCUGCUAAAUAGCGUCGAGUUUCUUCUUGAAACGAAGAUGUCUUCUUAGAGGGACGUCGCGUGUCUAACGCGAG
rnacentral:rRNA from 1 species